UACGUAGGUGGCAAGCGUUGUCCGGAAUUACUGGGUGUAAAGGGAGCGCAGGCGGGAAGCCAAGUCAGCUGUGAAAACUACGGGCUUAACUUGUAGACUGCAGUUGAAACUGGUUUUCUUGAGUGAGGUAGAGGUUGGCGGAAUUCCGAGUGUAGCGGUGAAAUGCGUAGAUAUUCGGAGGAACACCGGUGGCGAAGGCGGCCAACUGGGCUUUAACUGACGCUGAGGCUCGAAAGUGUGGGGAGCAAACAGG
rnacentral:rRNA from 1 species